CCUAUAAGACUGGGAUAACUUCGGGAAACCGGAGCUAAUGCCGGAUAACAUAUAGAACCGCAUGGUUCUAUAGUGAAAGAUGGUUUUGCUAUCACUUAUAGAUGGACCCGCGCCGUAUUAGCUAGUUGGUAAGGUAAUGGCUUACCAAGGCGACGAUACGUAGCCGACCUGAGAGGGUGAUCGGCCACACUGGAACUGAGACACGGUCCAGACUCCUACGGGAGGCAGCAGUAGGGAAUCUUCCGCAAUGGGCGAAAGCCUGACGGAGCAACGCCGCGUGAGUGAUGAAGGUUUUCGGAUCGUAAAACUCUGUUAUUAGGGAAGAACAAAUGCGUAAGUAACUGUGCGCAUCUUGACGGUACCUAAUCAGAAAGCCACGGCUAACUACGUGCCAGCAGCCGCGGUAAUACGUGGGUGGCAAGCGUUAUCCGGAAUUAUUGGGCGUAAAGCGCGCGUAGGCGGUUUCUUAAGUCUGAUGUGAAAGCCCACGGCUCAACCGUGGAGGGUCAUUGGAAACUGGGAAACUUGAGUGCAGAAGAGGAAAGUGGAAUUCCAUGUGUAGCGGUGAAAUGCGCAGAGAUAUGGAGGAACACCAGUGGCGAAGGCGACUUUCUGGUCUGUAACUGACGCUGAUGUGCGAAAGCGUGGGGAUCAAACAGGAUUAGAUACCCUGGUAGUCCACGCCGUAAACGAUGAGUGCUAAGUGUUAGGGGGUUUCCGCCCCUUAGUGCUGCAGCUAACGCAUUAAGCACUCCGCCUGGGGAGUACGACCGCAAGGUUGAAACUCAAA
rnacentral:rRNA from 1 species